UGUCCAGUAGCACCUUAGAGGCCAACUAAGUUUGUUCUUGGUAUGAGCUUUCGUAUCUGAAGAAGUGUGCAUGCACACAAAAGCUCAUACCAAGAACAAACUUAGUUGGUCUCUAAGGUGCUACUGGACA